UACGUAGGGAGCAAGCGUUGUCCGGAAUCAUUGGGCGUAAAGCGCGCGUAGGUGGCUUCAUAAGUCCGUUGUGAAAGUCAAAGGCUCAACCUUUGAAUGCCGAUGGAUACUGCAGGGCUAGAGUCCGGAAGAGGCGAGUGGAAUUCCUGGUGUAGCGGUGGAAUGCGCAGAUAUCAGGAGGAACACCAAUAGCGAAGGCAGCUCGCUGGGACGGUACUGACGCUAAGGUGCGAAAGCGUGGGGAGCGAACAGG
rnacentral:rRNA from 1 species